GGNNAGNAACACGNGGGNAACCNGCCUGUAAGACNGGGAUAACUCCGGGAAACCGGGGCNAAUACCGGAUGGUNGNUUGAACCGCAUGGUUNAAACAUAAAAGGUGGCUUCGGCUACCACUNACAGAUGGACCCGCGGCGCAUUAGCUANUUGGUGAGGUAACGGCUCACCAAGGCAACGAUGCGUAGCCGACCUGAGAGGGUGAUCGGCCACACUGGGACUGAGACACGGCCCAGACUCCUACGGGAGGCAGCAGUAGGGAAUCUUCCGCAAUGGACGAAAGUCUGACGGAGCAACGCCGCGUGAGUGAUGAAGGUUUUCGGAUCGUAAAGCUCUGUUGUUAGGGAAGAACAAGUACCGUUCGAACAGGGCGGUACCUUGACGGUACCUAACCAGAAAGCCACGGCUAACUACGUGCCAGCAGCCGCGGUAAUACGUAGGUGGCAAGUGUUGUCCGGAAUUAUUGGGCGUAAAGGGCUCGCGGGCGGUUUCUUAAGUCUGAUGUGAAAGCCCCCGGCUCAACCGGGGAGGGUCAUUGGAAACUGGGGAACUUGAGUGCANAANAGGAGAGUGGAAUUCCACGUGUAGCGGUGAAAUGCGUANNGAUGUGGAGGAACACCAGUGGCGAANGCGACUCUCUGGUCUGUAACUGACGCUGANGAGCGAAAGCGUGGGGAGCGAACAGGAUUANAUACCCUGGUAGUCCACGCC
rnacentral:rRNA from 1 species